ACGGAAGGCAGCAGUGGGGAAUAUUGGGCAAUGGGCGCAAGCCUGACCCAGCAAUGCCGCGUGAAGGAAGAAGGCUUUCGGGUUGUAAACUUCUUUUAAGUGGGACGAAACAAAUGACGGUACCUUAUGAAUAAGCCACGGCUAACUACGUGCCAGCAGCCGCGGUAAUACGUAGGGAGCAAGCGUUAUCCGGAUUUACUGGGUGUAAAGGGCGUGUAGGCGGGACAUCAAGUCAGAUGUGAAAGCACGAGGCUCAACUUCGUGUCUGCAUUUGAAACUGACGUUCUUGAGUGUUGGAGAGGCUAACGGAACUCCUAGUGUAGCGGUGAAAUGCGUAGAUAUUAGGAAGAACACCAGUGGCGAAGGCGGUUAGCUGGACAAUAACUGACGCUGAGGCGCGAAAGCGUGGGUAGCAAACAGGAUUAGAUACCCUGGUA
rnacentral:rRNA from 1 species